CCCGCACAAGCGGAGGAACAUGUGGUUAAUUCGAUGAUACACGAGGAACCUUACCUGGGCUUAAAUGUAGAGCGACAGACCGGGAAACUGGUCCUUCUUCGGACGAUCUACAAGGUGCUGCAUGGUUGUCGUCAGCUCGUGCCGUGAGGUGUCGGGUUAAGUCCCAUAACGAGCGCAACCCUUAUCGUUAGUUGCCAGCGGGUAAAGCCGGGAACUCUAGCGAAACUGCCGGUGUAAACCGAGAGGAAGGUGGGAUGACGUCAAAUCAGCACGGCCCUUAUGUCCAGGGCUACACACGUGUUACAAUGGCCGGUACAGAGGGCAGCUACCUGGAGACAGGAUGCGAAUCUCGAAAGCCGGUCUCAGUUCGGAUCGGAGUCUGCAACUCGACUCCGUGAAGCUGGAUUCGCUAGUAAUCGCGCAUCAGCCAUGGCGCGGUGAAUACGUUCCCGGGCCUU
rnacentral:rRNA from 1 species